UGGCCUCCGUGCUCAUCAGUUUUGUGGCUGUGGGGCCGAGGGACAUCCGCUUGACUCCUAGGCCUGGCCCCAAUGGCUCCUCCCUGCCGCCCCGGUUUGGCCACUUCACCGGCUUCAACAGCAGUACCCUGAAGGACAACUUGGGCGCUGGCUAUGCUGAGGACUACACCACGGGAGCCGUGAUGAAUUUUGCCAGCGUCUUUGCUGUCCUCUUUAACGGCUGUACAGGCAUCAUGGCUGGGGCCAACAUGUCAGGGGAGCUGAAGGACCCCAGCCGGGCGAUCCCUCUGGGCACGAUCGUCGCCGUCGCCUACACCUUCUUCGUCUAUGUCCUGCUUUUCUUUCUCUCCAGCUUCACUUGUGACAGGACCCUGCUGCAGGAAGACUAUGGGUUCUUCCGCGCCAUCAGCCUGUGGCCCCCACUGGUGUUGAUCGGAAUCUAUGCCACAGCGCUCUCAGCGUCCAUGAGCUCGCUCAUUGGUGCCUCCCGCAUCCUCCAUGCCCUGGCCCGGGAUGACCUCUUUGGCGUGAUCUUGGCACCGGCCAAGGUUGUGUCCCGAGGGGGAAACCCCUGGGCGGCUGUACUUUAUUCUUGGGGCCUGGUGCAGGUGAGCCUUCUUCUUCAAGGGGCCCUUUCCCUCACCCCACCAGCUGGCAGGAUGGGGGUGCAGUUAGAUGCAGGCUGGGAGACAAAUGCAAAGACAAAUGCGUAUGCACUUGGGGGUGCACUGGCACUCUGCAGGGUUCACUGGCACUUUGUGGGGUUCACCAGCACCUUGCUGGUUGCCCCAGUGCUUUGCAGGGUUCAUUGGCACCCUGGGAGGUUCACUGGCACUUUUU
rnacentral:sRNA from 1 species